rnacentral:rRNA from 1 species
AUUGAACGCUGGCGGCAUGCCUUACACAUGCAAGUCGAACGGUAACGCGGGGCAACCUGGCGACGAGUGGCGAACGGGUGAGUAAUGCAUCGGAACGUGCCCAGUAGUGGGGGAUAGCCCGGCGAAAGCCGGAUUAAUACCGCAUACGACCUACGGGUGAAAGCGGGGGACCGUAAGGCCUCGCGCUAUUGGAGCGGCCGAUGUCAGAUUAGGUAGUUGGUGGGGUAAAGGCCUACCAAGCCUACGAUCUGUAGCUGGCCUGAGAGGACGACCAGCCACACUGGGACUGAGACACGGCCCAGACUCCUACGGGAGGCAGCAGUGGGGAAUUUUGGACAAUGGGCGCAAGCCUGAUCCAGCCAUGCCGCGUGCGGGAAGAAGGCCUCGG